AGAAAGGCAGCGCAUGAAAAUAUUUUUCAUGUCUUAAAGAAGGCGUCCAUAUCUCACACCAAAACUCUUCUUCUCCCCAAAUUUUUGUUGCACACACUCUUAUUCCUCACGCCCCCUUAGAGAUAAAGAUCUGAUCUUAUCAAAAUAGGAAAUAUAUGGCAUGUAAUAAAGGAAUGAUAUAAGUGGUGUGCCAAAAGAAAUCGAGAAGAUCUUUCACGCAC
rnacentral:lncRNA from 1 species